rnacentral:lncRNA from 1 species
UGUAUAUAUGUAUAUAUCCAAAAGGUGACUGAAUACAUAGAUGUUUCAAUACAUAAGUGUUGACUUAGAGUACAAAAGACAUGGAUAGAAACUAUCCAAGAGUGAAUCAAUCAACAUGACAUUACAUGGCCCAUAAGAUAGAUCCUAGACAAAAACUAAAGAAAGGACAGACUAUACUGGAUCUAAUAGAUAUCAUGGCUGGAU